GCCCGGGUAGUCCAGGGGUAAGAUUCAUCGUUCGGGCAUUCCAAACCUUGUCUCGAUGAGACCCGCGUUCGAAUCGCGGCUCGGGCC